AUUGAACGCUGGCGGCAUGCUUUACACAUGCAAGUCGAACGGUAACAGGCCGCAAGGUGCUGACGAGUGGCGAACGGGUGAGUAAUGCAUCGGAACGUGCCCAGUCGUGGGGGAUAACUACUCGAAAGAGUAGCUAAUACCGCAUACGAUCUAUGGAUGAAAGCGGGGGACCGUAAGGCCUCGCGCGAUUGGAGCGGCCGAUGUCAGAUUAGGUAGUUGGUGGGGUAAAGGCUCACCAAGCCAACGAUCUGUAGCUGGUCUGAGAGGACGACCAGCCACACUGGGACUGAGGCACGGCCCAGACUCCUACGGGAGGCAGCAGUGGGGAAUUUAGGACAAUGGGCGCAAGCCUGAUCCAGCAAUGCCGCGUGCAGGAAGAAGGCCUUCGGGUUGGAAACUGCUUUUGUACGGAACGAAACGGCUCUGGUUAAUACCCGGGGCUAAUGACGGUACCGUAAGAAUAAGCACCGGCUAACUACGUG
rnacentral:rRNA from 1 species